GAGAUGACCAGUGGCCGUGCUGGUCACUACCUUGGCAAGAAGAUUGCCCUGGGUUCAGGCUGCCCCUCCCACUGACCCUUUAGCCAUCACCCCCAGCUGUGUUGGCUCUGGCGCGUUAAUAACUGCGCUUGAGUAGCUGCAAACUGCCCUUGGAUUUGCCUCAGCCGCCUUUUCGUCAAAGCAAACAGGUUACUCCUUGUGCGCCGGCUGCUGGACCCUCUUCUCUAUGGCUCUUUUGAACGGGGAUGCUGUGGUGCUCUUGUUACUUGUGUGGCAGCAGCUCAAGGGACCUGGAGGAGAACAGGACCAGUGACAGCCUGACAUUGCCCCAGAGGCUUCUCAACUCCUGGGUAACUUCACCUCAGCUGCUGAAGGUGGCUGCUGGGUUACUUUGGUCAGUGGGACUGGAAGGGAGCCAUCACCUGCCUCCUGGAUGGCCUGCCAGCCCUGGUGUGUGGUGAGUUCCAGCUCAAA
rnacentral:lncRNA from 1 species